rnacentral:rRNA from 1 species
UCUGUAGGUGGUCCAAUAAGUCAACUGUUAAAUCUUGAGGCUCAACCUCAAAAUCGCAGUCGAAACUAUUAGACUAGAGUAUAGUAGGGGUAAAGGGAAUUUCCAGUGGAGCGGUGAAAUGCGUAGAGAUUGGAAAGAACACCGAUGGCGAAGGCACUUUACUGGGCUAUUACUAACACUCAGAGACGAAAGCUAGGGUAGCAAAUG